UACGUAGGGGCCGAGCGUUGUCCGGAGUUAUUGGGCGUAAAGCGCGCGCAGGCGGCCUCGCGCGCCCGACGUGAAAGCCCCCGGCUUAACCGGGGAGAGUCGUUGGGGACGGCGGGGCUUGAGGGCGGGAGAGGUCGGUGGAAUUCCCGGUGUAGUGGUGAAAUGCGUAGAGAUCGGGAGGAACACCGGUGGCGAAGGCGGCGACCUGGGUAGAUACUGACGCUGAGGCGCGAAAGCGUGGGGAGCAAACAGG
rnacentral:rRNA from 1 species